rnacentral:rRNA from 1 species
AACGAACGCUGGCGGCAGGCUUAACACAUGCAAGUCGAGCGGGCCCUUCGGGGUCAGCGGCAGACGGGUGAGUAACACGUGGGAACGUACCUUUUGGUUCGGAACAACUCCGGGAAACUGGAGCUAAUACCGGAUAAGCCCUUAGGGGGAAAGAUUUAUCGCCAAAAGAUCGGCCCGCGUCUGAUUAGCUAGUUGGUGGGGUAACGGCCCACCAAGGCGACGAUCAGUAGCUGGUCUGAGAGGAUGAUCAGCCACACUGGGAUUGAGACACGGCCCAGACUCCUACGGGAGGCAGCAGUGGGGAAUAUUAGACAAUGGGCGCAAGCCUGAUCCAGCCAUGCCGCGUGAGUGAUGAAGGCCUUAGGGUUGUAAAGCUCUUUUGUCCGGGAAGAUAAUGACUGUACCGGAAGAAUAAGCCCCGGCUAACUUCGUG